rfam:Hyphomonas neptunium ATCC 15444, complete genome.
UAUGCGGACCGGGCCCCUCUGGCAAUUGAUCCCCUGAAGGAUCUGUUGCGAUGUCGGACCGCAUCG